GGCCAUGUUGGUUAACAGAUCCUCAUCUGCUGGACGUCUGGCGAUGAUCUUUAUCGGUUGUCGUCAGUUGCCAGCACGUUUACUUUGAGAAAAUUAGAGUGCUAAAAGCAGGCUCACGCCUAUAUAUAUUGCAUGGAAUAAUGAAAUAAGAUCUCGAUUUUAUUUCGUUGGUUUUAGAAAUUGAGAUAAUGAUUAAUAGGAUCAGAGGGGGGCGUACGUACUGUGGUGUGAGAGGUGAAAUUCUUGGAUCGCCACAGGACGAACAGCAGCGAAGGCGUUCGCCAAGAAUGUUUUCAUUAAUCAAGAACGAAAGUUUGAGGUUCGAAGACGAUUAGAUACCGUCCUAGUUCAAACCAUAAACGUUGCCAACUGUCUUUUAGAUGCGGUUAUUUAUAUGACUCAUCUGGCAGAUCUCGAGAAAUCUAAGUUUUUAGGUUCCGGGGGAAGUAUGGUUGCAAAGCUGAAACUUAAAAGAAUUGACGGAAGGACACACAAGAAGUGGAGCCUGUGGCCUAAUUUGACUCAACACGGGAAACCUUACUCGGCCAGGACACUUUUAGGAUUGACAGAUUGAGAGCUCUUUCUUGAUUAGGUGGGUGGUGGUGCAUGGUCGUUCGUAGUUCGUGGAGCGAUUUGUCUGAUUAAUUUCGAUAACGAACGAGACUCCGGCUUACUAAAUAGUCUAAAGUUCGAAGGGACUUUUCAAGACUUCUUAGCAGGAUAAGUGG
rnacentral:rRNA from 1 species